AGUAACGCGUGGAUAACCUGCCUCACACUGGGGGAUAACAGUUAGAAAUGACUGCUAAUACCGCAUGAGCGCACAGUACCGCAUGGUACGGUGUGAAAAACUCCGGUGGUGUGAGAUGGAUCCGCGUCUGAUUAGCCAGUUGGCGGGGUAACGGCUCACCAAAGCGACGAUCAGUAGCCGACCUGAGAGGGUGACCGGCCACAUUGGGACUGAGACACGGCCCAA
rnacentral:rRNA from 1 species